GGGUUGUGAGGUUAAGCGACUAAGCGUACACGGUGGAUGCCCUGGCAGUCAGAGGCGAUGAAGGACGUGCUAAUCUGCGAUAAGCGCCGGUAAGGUGAUAUGAACCGUUAUAACCGGCGAUUUCCGAAUGGGGAAACCCAGUGUGACUCGUCACACUAUCAUUAACUGAAUCCAUAGGUUAAUGAGGCGAACCGGGGGAACUGAAACAUCUAAGUACCCCGAGGAAAAGAAAUCAACCGAGAUUCCCCCAGUAGCGGCGAGCGAACGGGGAGGAGCCCAGAGCCUGAAUCAGCAUGUGUGUUAGUGGAAGCGUCUGGAAAGGCGCGCGAUACAGGGUGACAGCCCCGUACACAAAAGCGCAUGUGCUGUGAGCUCGAUGAGUAGGGCGGGACACGUGGUAUCCUGUCUGAAUAUGGGGGGACCAUCCUCCAAGGCUAAAUACUCCUGACUGACCGAUAGUGAACCAGUACCGUGAGGGAAAGGCGAAAAGAACCCCGGCGAGGGGAGUGAAAAAGAACCUGAAACCGUGUACGUACAAGCAGUGGGAGCCCCACCACUAAGCCAGUGGUGAACUCCACAUACGCAUCCUUUGCUGAUGGCAAUGGUUAACGGAGCGAAAGCGACGUUCAACCGCAAAACAAGCAGAGGGGGCUUAGUGGUGGGGUGACUGCGUACCUUUUGUAUAAUGGGUCAGCGACUUAUAUUCUGUAGCAAGGUUAACCGUAUAGGGGAGCCGCAGGGAAACCGAGUCUUAACCGGGCGUUAAGUUGCAGGGUAUAGACCCGAAACCCGGUGAUCUAGCCAUGGGCAGGUUGAAGGUUGGGUAACACUAACUGGAGGACCGAACCGACUAAUGUUGAAAAAUUAGCGGAUGACCUGUGGCUGGGGGUGAAAGGCCAAUCAAACCGGGAGAUAGCUGGUUCUCCCCGAAAGCUAUUUAGGUAGCGCCUCGUGAAUUCAUCUCCGGGGGUAGAGCACUGUUUCGGCUAGGGGGCCAUCCCGGCUUACCAACCCGAUGCAAACUGCGAAUACCGGAGAAUGUUAUCACGGGAGACACACGGCGGGUGCUAACGUCCGUCGUGAAGAGGGAAACAACCCAGACCGCCAGCUAAGGUCCCAAAGUCAUGGUUAAGUGGGAAACGAUGUGGGAAGGCCCAGACAGCCAGGAUGUUGGCUUAGAAGCAGCCAUCAUUUAAAGAAAGCGUAAUAGCUCACUGGUCGAGUCGGCCUGCGCGGAAGAUGUAACGGGGCUAAACCAUGCACCGAAGCUGCGGCAGCGACACUCAGGUGUUGUUGGGUAGGGGAGCGUUCUGUAAGCCUGCGAAGGUGGCCUGUGAGGGUUGCUGGAGGUAUCAGAAGUGCGAAUGCUGACAUAAGUAACGAUAAAGCGGGUGAAAAGCCCGCUCGCCGGAAGACCAAGGGUUCCUGUCCAACGUUAAUCGGGGCAGGGUGAGUCGACCCCUAAGGCGAGGCCGAAAGGCGUAGUCGAUGGGAAACGGGUUAAUAUUCCCGUACUUGGUGUUACUGCGAAGGGGGGACGGAGAAGGCUAUGUUGGCCGGGCGACGGUUGUCCCGGUUUAAGCGUGUAGGUGUGUGUUCCAGGUAAAUCCGGUUCACUUUAACACUGAGGCGUGACGACGAGGCACUACGGUGCUGAAGCAACAAAUGCCCUGCUUCCAGGAAAAGCCUCUAAGCAUCAGGUAACAUCAAAUCGUACCCCAAACCGACACAGGUGGUCAGGUAGAGAAUACCAAGGCGCUUGAGAGAACUCGGGUGAAGGAACUAGGCAAAAUGGUGCCGUAACUUCGGGAGAAGGCACGCUGACACGUAGGUGAAGUGAUUUACUCAUGGAGCUGAAGUCAGUCGAAGAUACCAGCUGGCUGCAACUGUUUAUUAAAAACACAGCACUGUGCAAACACGAAAGUGGACGUAUACGGUGUGACGCCUGCCCGGUGCCGGAAGGUUAAUUGAUGGGGUCAGCGCAAGCGAAGCUCCUGAUCGAAGCCCCGGUAAACGGCGGCCGUAACUAUAACGGUCCUAAGGUAGCGAAAUUCCUUGUCGGGUAAGUUCCGACCUGCACGAAUGGCGUAAUGAUGGCCAGGCUGUCUCCACCCGAGACUCAGUGAAAUUGAACUCGCUGUGAAGAUGCAGUGUACCCGCGGCAAGACGGAAAGACCCCGUGAACCUUUACUAUAGCUUGACACUGAACAUUGAGCCUUGAUGUGUAGGAUAGGUGGGAGGCUUUGAAGUGUGGACGCCAGUCUGCAUGGAGCCGACCUUGAAAUACCACCCUUUAAUGUUUGAUGUUCUAACGUGGACCCGUAAUCCGGGUUGCGGACAGUGUCUGGUGGGUAGUUUGACUGGGGCGGUCUCCUCCUAAAGAGUAACGGAGGAGCACGAAGGUUGGCUAAUCCUGGUCGGACAUCAGGAGGUUAGUGCAAUGGCAUAAGCCAGCUUGACUGCGAGCGUGACGGCGCGAGCAGGUGCGAAAGCAGGUCAUAGUGAUCCGGUGGUUCUGAAUGGAAGGGCCAUCGCUCAACGGAUAAAAGGUACUCCGGGGAUAACAGGCUGAUACCGCCCAAGAGUUCAUAUCGACGGCGGUGUUUGGCACCUCGAUGUCGGCUCAUCACAUCCUGGGGCUGAAGUAGGUCCCAAGGGUAUGGCUGUUCGCCAUUUAAAGUGGUACGCGAGCUGGGUUUAGAACGUCGUGAGACAGUUCGGUCCCUAUCUGCCGUGGGCGCUGGAGAACUGAGGGGGGCUGCUCCUAGUACGAGAGGACCGGAGUGGACGCAUCACUGGUGUUCGGGUUGUCAUGCCAAUGGCACUGCCCGGUAGCUAAAUGCGGAAGAGAUAAGUGCUGAAAGCAUCUAAGCACGAAACUUGCCCCGAGAUGAGUUCUCCCUGAGACUUAAAGUCUCCUGAAGGAACGUUGAAGACGACGACGUUGAUAGGCCGGGUGUGUAAGCGCAGCGAUGCGUUGAGCUAACCGGUACUAAUGAACCGUGAGGCUUAACCUUACAACGCCGAAG
rnacentral:rRNA from 2 species